AUUUUCAAAAAAUCAGAUGUUCCAUUUCCUUUUUCACUUGACAUUUCAUAGAAACAGAGUGCUCUUUGCCUUUUCCUGUUUCCUGUUGGCUGCAAUUCAAGCCCAGGGACUGGAGUUCCUGUAGCUACCUUGGACUGUGAAAUGACUUUGAGAAUGGAAGUCACAUAUGGCAAAGCAACAAGACAGAAGGAGUGUGGAUGCUUGAAACCAUGAAAUUGCUAUACUGUCUUUGGAGUGACUGCUUCUAUAUUUCUUGAACAUGAAAGAUAUAAAUGUCUAUUUUUUUCUCCCAUUGUCUUACAGCUAAACUUGAUCCUGAGAUAGGAGUGAUUCAGACAGAGAAAGCUGAAGGCACGAAGGCUGACACAGGAAAGCACUUGGCAUCUUGAAAACAUAGCAAGAUUACCCUGAGAUACUUACUCUCUACUUUUGUACCAGAAAAACUUAAAGUCACAGCUGGACCAAAGUUCUUUUCUUCAAGUAGAAAAUGAUUUUGUUUGCUUCGCAAAGACCUACACACCUCAGCUGUAAAGAAUUCCAAGCUGAACGGGCUUCGUGGCUCGCGCCUGUAAUCCCAGCACUUUGGGAGGCCGAGGCGGGUGGAUCACAGGGUCAAGAGAUCGAGAAUAUCCCG